UCUUCGCGACUGACGGAUAUCGUGGGUCACCACGGGGGAGCGGAGAUUUAUAUUUGCCGACCGUCUGGGCGCAC
rnacentral:ncRNA from 1 species